GACGAACGCUGGCGGCGUGCUUAACACAUGCCAGUCGUGCGGUAAGGCCCUUUCGGGGGUACACGAGCGGCGAACGGGUGAGUAACACGUGAGCAACCUGCCCUUCACUUUGGGAUAACUGCCGGAAACGGUGGCUAAUACCGGAUAUGACUUCCUCACGCAUGAGGGGUGGUGGAAAGCCUUCGGGUGGUGGGGGAUGGGCUCGCGGUCUAUCAGCUUGUUGGUGGGGUGAUGGCCUACCAAGGCUUCGACGGGUAGCCGGCCUGAGAGGGUGACCGGCCACACUGGGACUGAGACACGGCCCAGACUCCUACGGGAGGCAGCAGUGGGGAAUAUUGGACAAUGGGCGAAAGCCUGAUCCAGCAACGCCGCGUGAGGGAUGACGGCCUUCGGGCUGUAAACCUCUUUCGCCUGCGACGAAGCGAGAGUGACGGUAGCAGGUAAAGAAGCACCGGCCAACUACGUG
rnacentral:rRNA from 1 species